UCCCCGUUACCGGGGCAGUCUAGCCAGAAAAAUUCAACUGACUAUAAGGGUUGCGCUCGUUAAUGGACUUAACCAAACAUCUCACGACACGAGCUGACGACGGCCAUGCAUCACCUGUCAUCGGGUUCCAAAAGGCACAGUUUGCUUUCGCAAACCUUCCCGAGAUGUCAAACCCUGGUAAGGUUCUUCGCUUAUCGUCGAAUUAAACAACACGCUCCACCGCUUGUGCGGGUCCCCGUCAAUUCCUUUAUGUUUUAAGCUUGCGCUCGUACUCCACAGGCGGGAUGCUUAACGCGUUAGCUUCGCUACUAGAAGGGUCGAUACUUCUAACAGCUAGCAUCCAUCGUUUACGGCGUGGACUAC
rnacentral:misc_RNA from 1 species